UAGGGAAUAUUAGUAAUGGGCGAAAGCCUGAACUAGCAACGCCGCGUGUGUGAAGAAGGCCUCCGGGUUGUAAAGCACUUUUAGAGAGGAUGAGGAAGGACGGUACUCUCAGAAUAAGUCUCGGCUAACUACGUGCCAGCAGCCGCGGUAACACGUAGGAGGCGAACGUUAUCCGGAUUUACUGGGCGUAAAGCGCGUGUAGGUGGUUUGGUAAGUAGGGCGUGAAAGCUCCCGGCUCAACUGGGAGAGGCCGUUCUAAACUGCCAAGCCAGAGGAUGGUAGAGGGAGGUGGAAUUCCGGGUGUAGCGGUGGAAUGCGCAGAUAUCCGGAGGAACACCAGUGGCGAAGGCGGCAUCCUGGGCCACUCCUGACACUCAGACGCGAAAGCUAGGGUAGCAAACGG
rnacentral:rRNA from 1 species